GGGUUGUGAGGUUAAGCGACUAAGCGUACACGGUGGAUGCCCUGGCAGUCAGAGGCGAUGAAGGACGUGCUAAUCUGCGAUAAGCGUCGGUAAGGUGAUAUGAACCGUUAUAACCGGCGAUUUCCGAAUGGGGAAACCCAGUGUGAUUCGUCACACUAUCAUUAACUGAAUCCAUAGGUUAAUGAGGCGAACCGGGGGAACUGAAACAUCUAAGUACCCCGAGGAAAAGAAAUCAACCGAGAUUCCCCCAGUAGCGGCGAGCGAACGGGGAGCAGCCCAGAGCCUGAAUCAGUGUGUGUGUUAGUGGAAGCGUCUGGAAAGGCGCGCGAUACAGGGUGACAGCCCCGUACACAAAAAUGCACAUGCUGUGAGCUCGAUGAGUAGGGCGGGACACGUGGUAUCCUGUCUGAAUAUGGGGGGACCAUCCUCCAAGGCUAAAUACUCCUGACUGACCGAUAGUGAACCAGUACCGUGAGGGAAAGGCGAAAAGAACCCCGGCGAGGGGAGUGAAAAAGAACCUGAAACCGUGUACGUACAAGCAGUGGGAGCACAGAGCAAUCUGUGUGACUGCGUACCUUUUGUAUAAUGGGUCAGCGACUUAUAUUCUGUAGCAAGGUUAACCGAAUAGGGGAGCCGAAGGGAAACCGAGUCUUAACUGGGCGUUAAGUUGCAGGGUAUAGACCCGAAACCCGGUGAUCUAGCCAUGGGCAGGUUGAAGGUUGGGUAACACUAACUGGAGGACCGAACCGACUAAUGUUGAAAAAUUAGCGGAUGACUUGUGGCUGGGGGUGAAAGGCCAAUCAAACCGGGAGAUAGCUGGUUCUCCCCGAAAGCUAUUUAGGUAGCGCCUCGUGAAUUCAUCUCCGGGGGUAGAGCACUGUUUCGGCAAGGGGGUCAUCCCGACUUACCAACCCGAUGCAAACUGCGAAUACCGGAGAAUGUUAUCACGGGAGACACACGGCGGGUGCUAACGUCCGUCGUGAAGAGGGAAACAACCCAGACCGCCAGCUAAGGUCCCAAAGUCAUGGUUAAGUGGGAAACGAUGUGGGAAGGCCCAGACAGCCAGGAUGUUGGCUUAGAAGCAGCCAUCAUUUAAAGAAAGCGUAAUAGCUCACUGGUCGAGUCGGCCUGCGCGGAAGAUGUAACGGGGCUAAACCAUGCACCGAAGCUGCGGCAGCGACGCUGAUGCGUUGUUGGGUAGGGGAGCGUUCUGUAAGCCUGCGAAGGUGUGCUGUGAGGCAUGCUGGAGGUAUCAGAAGUGCGAAUGCUGACAUAAGUAACGAUAAAGCGGGUGAAAAGCCCGCUCGCCGGAAGACCAAGGGUUCCUGUCCAACGUUAAUCGGGGCAGGGUGAGUCGACCCCUAAGGCGAGGCCGAAAGGCGUAGUCGAUGGGAAACAGGUUAAUAUUCCUGUACUUGGUGUUACUGCGAAGGGGGGACGGAGAAGGCUAUGUUGGCCGGGCGACGGUUGUCCCGGUUUAAGCGUGUAGGCUGGUUUUCCAGGCAAAUCCGGAAAAUCAAGGCUGAGGCGUGAUGACGAGGCACUACGGUGCUGAAGCAACAAAUGCCCUGCUUCCAGGAAAAGCCUCUAAGCAUCAGGUAACAUCAAAUCGUACCCCAAACCGACACAGGUGGUCAGGUAGAGAAUACCAAGGCGCUUGAGAGAACUCGGGUGAAGGAACUAGGCAAAAUGGUGCCGUAACUUCGGGAGAAGGCACGCUGAUAUGUAGGUGAAGUCCCUCGCGGAUGGAGCUGAAAUCAGUCGAAGAUACCAGCUGGCUGCAACUGUUUAUUAAAAACACAGCACUGUGCAAACACGAAAGUGGACGUAUACGGUGUGACGCCUGCCCGGUGCCGGAAGGUUAAUUGAUGGGGUUAGCGCAAGCGAAGCUCUUGAUCGAAGCCCCGGUAAACGGCGGCCGUAACUAUAACGGUCCUAAGGUAGCGAAAUUCCUUGUCGGGUAAGUUCCGACCUGCACGAAUGGCGUAAUGAUGGCCAGGCUGUCUCCACCCGAGACUCAGUGAAAUUGAACUCGCUGUGAAGAUGCAGUGUACCCGCGGCAAGACGGAAAGACCCCGUGAACCUUUACUAUAGCUUGACACUGAACAUUGAGCCUUGAUGUGUAGGAUAGGUGGGAGGCUUUGAAGUGUGGACGCCAGUCUGCAUGGAGCCGACCUUGAAAUACCACCCUUUAAUGUUUGAUGUUCUAACGUGGACCCGUAAUCCGGGUUGCGGACAGUGUCUGGUGGGUAGUUUGACUGGGGCGGUCUCCUCCUAAAGAGUAACGGAGGAGCACGAAGGUUGGCUAAUCCUGGUCGGACAUCAGGAGGUUAGUGCAAUGGCAUAAGCCAGCUUGACUGCGAGCGUGACGGCGCGAGCAGGUGCGAAAGCAGGUCAUAGUGAUCCGGUGGUUCUGAAUGGAAGGGCCAUCGCUCAACGGAUAAAAGGUACUCCGGGGAUAACAGGCUGAUACCGCCCAAGAGUUCAUAUCGACGGCGGUGUUUGGCACCUCGAUGUCGGCUCAUCACAUCCUGGGGCUGAAGUAGGUCCCAAGGGUAUGGCUGUUCGCCAUUUAAAGUGGUACGCGAGCUGGGUUUAGAACGUCGUGAGACAGUUCGGUCCCUAUCUGCCGUGGGCGCUGGAGAAUUGAGGGGGGCUGCUCCUAGUACGAGAGGACCGGAGUGGACGCAUCACUGGUGUUCGGGUUGUCAUGCCAAUGGCACUGCCCGGUAGCUAAAUGCGGAAGAGAUAAGUGCUGAAAGCAUCUAAGCACGAAACUUGCCCCGAGAUGAGUUCUCCCUGACUCCUUGAGAGUCCUGAAGGAACGUUGAAGACGACGACGUUGAUAGGCCGGGUGUGUAAGCGCAGCGAUGCGUUGAGCUAACCGGUACUAAUGAACCGUGAGGCUUAACCUUACAACGCCGAAGCUGUU
rnacentral:rRNA from 1 species